rnacentral:rRNA from 1 species
GACGAACGCUGGCGGCGUGCCUAAUACAUGCAAGUCGAGCGGACCGGCUUGGGGCUUGCCUUGAUUCGGUCAGCGGCGGACGGGUGAGUAACACGUGGGCAACCUGCCCGCAAGACCGGGAUAACUCCGGGAAACCGGAGCUAAUACCGGAUAACACCGAAGACCGCAUGGUCUUCGGUUGAAAGGCGGCCUUUGGGCUGUCACUUGCGGAUGGGCCCGCGGCGCAUUAGGUAGUUGGUGAGGUAACGGCUCACCAAGGCGACGAUGCGUAGCCGGCCUGAGAGGGUGACCGGCCACACUGGGACUGAGACACGGCCCAGACUCCUACGGGAGGCAGCAGUAGGGAAUCUUCCGCAAUGGGCGAAAGCCUGACGGAGCGACGCCGCGUGAGCGAAGAAGGCCUUCGGGUCGUAAAGCUCUGUUGUGAGGGACGAAGGAGCGCCGUUCGAAGAGGGCGGCGCGGUGACGGUACCUCACGAGAAAGCCCCGGCUAACUACGUG